GGGGAGGGAGGUAUGGAGUGGAUGAGAAUGAUCAACUUCACAAGGAAGAAAAGGGAAAAAAAGAGCCUCAAGGAAGCAGUUUUUAAAAGUGGAGUUCUGAAAGAGCCUGAGUUAAACAAGAUAGUCGGGUUAAUUUCGUAUCUACUUAUAAAAGAAUAUCUGUAAGAUUUGUAUAUAAGCCUCUCACUCUCAUCUGUAUGUGGAAAUGUGCACGUUUGUCAAGGUCACAAUAAAACAGAAAAUUUUUAAAAAGGAGGGAGAGACACAGAGACAGAGACAGAGAGACAGAAACAGAGAGAGAGAGAGAUGCUAGGUUCUGGAUCAGGGAGGAGGGAAGGGAGGGAGAAGGGCAGGCUGGAAGGAGGGCAGGAGGGAGGGGUGGGGCAGCUGAGCCUUAUAGAAUCCAGUAGGAGGCAGUUGCUCUGCAGAUCUCCAGCUAGACAGAACCCUUACCUGUUCUGAGAAGUCAGAAGCCUGCCUGAUAACUCUCCUAGCCCCGACCUUCACCAGGCCAGAAAAUGGAUCAAGGCAACAUGUCUGAAAGAGACAGAAGUGACUUCAAUUUCAAGAGUGGGCAGCCAAGUCAAUUGCCCAAGUCGUCCCAGAGCAAAAGUGAUGAUCCCCAGGCUGUGAAGCAGGAGUUUGUACACAUUAAGCAGAAAGUCGAUGCCCUGCUGGAUCACCUAGAAAACAUCAUGAAAGAACCUGCAAAGUUGCGUGAGAUGAUGAGGGCAAAGGAGAUGGAACAGGAGCUGGGCAGCAGGAUCCCGAAGAAACCCAAGACAAAUGAGGAGACACACGCUGAAAAUAACGGGGCAGUCGGUGGAAACCAGGUUUAGUUGGCGCCAGCCUGGAGGAGGAAGAGGACCCUGAAGAUCCAGGCAGCCAAGACCAACCAGGGCUGUUCUGCCAGGGCCAGCCCCACUCCCUGUGACCCCUGGGCCUUCUCUACCAAGGCCAGCAUGUGCUCCCCACUGUCCUAUGUCUAACAGGUCCCUCAGCUGCCCCUCCUCUGCCUUUCACACUUUCCCACUUCUUGCAAGUCUCCCAGGAGAUAGAGUAAAACCGCAGUAGUUUUGCUUUUUUAACUUUGACGCUUGUAUUCAUUUGAUAAUUAAAAAGUAAAUUGUUCCUUUUGCAGUUUUGUUUUGUUUUGUUUUUUAAAGGGGGGCUGUUGGGGAGGAGGGGAAGGGACACCCUGGAGUAAGUGGGAGUGUCCAUCUUUGAGGACCUGGU
rnacentral:lncRNA from 1 species